UAUUUGAACCAGGACACUGUUUUGUGUUUAAUAUUUCCAUCAUCUCUUUCAGUAAUGGAUGGAUCUACAGGAUGAUAAUUGACCUGAAAACAAAAGUUAGGAACAAUAGUAAAAUACAUGUGAUCCUGUGUUUUUAAAUAUUUGCUUUUAUUUACAUGUUUGUGGGCUUGUAAGCCACAUGUGUACAGGAACCAGAGGGGGGCAUUGGAUCCUCUGUAGCAGGGCAUAUAAAAGUCUGCCUGUGAACUGCCUAAUACGUGUGCUGGAAACUGGACUCCAGGCUUCUGGAAGACUAGUAGCACCAGAGACACUUUCUCCAUGGAAACCUGGUGGUAUGACAGCUAGGGAAAUAGCAACCACAUUCAUCACGCAGUUUCAGCAGUGACCCACUUAGAGUGUGACGGCUGGAGCCAGCGUGCUGAUGUCUCAUUUAGCCCACUUCAGGACAAGUGAAUGCUCAGGAGACCCAGGUGACUGCGUCUUCAGCUGAGAAGCACAUGGGAAUUUUGAUUUAGCUCCCAAAGACCUCUCUAAAGACACUGCUCAUAGGUGGGAACCACAGAAACCAUAGGAGGGCAUCAAAUUCCCAAGAACUGGAAUUAUUGGCAAUUGUGAGCUUCCACGUGGAUCCCGAAACCUGAACCUGAGUUGUCUGCGAGAAGAGGAAUCUGAUCUAGUACCAAAUAAAGCUGGCUUGAAGAUUCUGCUGAUGCCUCUUGGGCCACUCUAUGUUGUCUGUAUUGCUGAACACAGCUGUCAGGAACCCAUCUAUAUUCAUAUCUGGAGUACUACCAAAUAUGAAAUGUCCUGAGAAUAACUCGUCUUUGGUGA